CGCCUUCGCCGGAUUUUGUAUGGCCCCGUGAGAGGUGAAUUCUUGGUGCGGGAGCUUCCCGGAAACGAAAGUCUUCCGGUAAAGGAAAAGUAUGGUUGCAAAGCUGAAACUUAAAGGAAUUGAAAGGAAUCGCCCGUCGCUGCCCGGGACUGAGCCAUUUCGAGAAAUUUGGGGACCGUUGAUUUAAUUUUUCUAAAUUACUUUGAUGGAAACCAAUUUAAUCGCAGUGGCUUGAACCCAGGGGAAGUAUGGUUGCAAAGCUGAAACUUAAAGGAAUUGACGGAAGGGCACCACCAGGAGUGGAGCCUGCGGCUUAAUUUGACUCAACACGGGGAAACUCACCCGGCCCGGACACUGUGAGGAUUGACAGAUUGAUAGCUUUUUCAUGAUUCAGUGGAUGGUGGUGCAUGGCCGUUCUUAGUUCGUGGAGUGAUUUGUCUGGUUUAUUCCGAUAACGAGCGAGACUCUAACCUACUAAAUAGUUGGUACAUACUCUUAGUGUAUACAGCUUCUUAGAGGGAUUUGCGGCGUUCAGCCGAAAGAAAUUGAGCAAUAACAGGUCUGUGAUGCCCUUAUAUGUCCGGGGCUGCACGCGCGCUACACUGGCAAAAUCAACGUGCUUGUCCUACCCUGAAAGGGGCGGGUAAACCAUUGAAAAUUUGCCGUGAUUGGGAUCGGAAAUUGCAAUUAUUUUCCGUGAACGAGGAAUUCCAAGUAAGUGCGAGUCAUCAGCUCGCGUUGAUUACUCCCUGCCCUUUUGUACACACCGCCCGUCGCUGCCCGGGACUGAGCCUUUUCGAGAAAUUUGGGGACGUUGAUUUAUUUUUUUAAAUUACUUUGAUGGAAACCAAUUUUAAUCUCGUGUCUUGAACCCUA
rnacentral:rRNA from 1 species